rnacentral:rRNA from 1 species
UACGAAGGGAGCUAGCGUUGUUCGGAAUCACUGGGCGUAAAGCGCACGUAGGCGGAUUUGUCAGUCAGGGGUGAAAUCCCGGGGCUCAACCUCGGAACUGCCUUUGAUACAGCAAGUCUUGAGUUCGAGAGAGGUGGGUGGAAGUUCCUAGUGUAGAGGUGAAAUUCGUAGAUAUUAGGAAGAACACCGGUGGCGAAGGCGGCCCACUGGCUCGAUACUGACGCUGAGGUGCGAAAGCGUGGGGAGCAAACAGG